rnacentral:tRNA from 1 species
CAAGGAAUAGUUUAUAGAGAAUCCCAGCUUUGGGUGUUGGUGGUGAGGUUUGGUGCUUCUUCCUUGA